CGGCUGGGAUGCUGUCGGUGAAAGCUGGGGACCGGAAACGGCCUGGCGCGAGGAGAGGGUCCUGCGUCUGAUUAGCUAGUUGGUGGGGUAACGGCCUACCAAGGCAUCGAUCUGUAGCGGGUCUGAGAGGAUGAUCCGCCACACUGGAACUGAGACACGGUCCAGACUCCUACGGGAGGCAGCAGUGGGGAAUUUUGGACAAUGGGGGCAACCCUGAUCCAGCCAUGCCGCGUGAGUGAAGAAGGCCUUCGGGUUGUAAAGCUCUUUCAGCCGGGAAGAAAAUGCAUGGGUUAAUACCCUGUGCAGAUGACGGUACCGGAAUAAGAAGCACCGGCUAACUACGUGCCAGCAGCCGCGGUAAUACGUAGGGGGCGAGCGUUAAUCGGAAUUACUGGGCGUAAAGCGUGCGCAGGCGGUUUUGUAAGACAGGCGUGAAAUCCCCGGGCUUAACCUGGGAACUGCGUUUGUGACUGCAAGGCUAGAGUACGGCAGAGGGGGGUGGAAUUCCACGUGUAGCAGUGAAAUGCGUAGAGAUGUGGAGGAACACCAAUGGCGAAGGCAGCCCCCUGGGUCGAUACUGACGCUCAUGCACGAAAGCGUGGGUAGCAAACAGGAUUAGAUACCCUGGUAGUCCACGCCCUAAACGAUGUCAACUAGGUGUUGGGAGGGUAAAACCUUUUAGUACCGUAGCUAACGCGAGAAGUUGACCGCCUGGGGAGUACGGCCGCAAGGUUAAAACUCAAAGGAAUUGACGGGGACCCGCACAAGCGGUGGAUGAUGUGGAUUAAUUCGAUGCAACGCGAAAAACCUUACCUACCCUUGACAUGUCAGGAACUUGCCAGAGAUGGCUUGGUGCCCGAAAGGGAACCUGAACACAGGUGCUGCAUGGCUGUCGUCAGCUCGUGUCGUGAGAUGUUGGGUUAAGUCCCGCAACGAGCGCAACCCUUGUCGUUAAUUGCCAUCAUUCAGUUGGGCACUUUAACGAGACUGCCGGUGACAAACCGGAGGAAGGUGGGGAUGACGUCAAGUCCUCAUGGCCCUUAUGGGUAGGGCUUCACACGUCAUACAAUGGUCGGUACAAAGGGUCGCCAACCCGCGAGGGGGAGCCAAUCCCAUAAAGCCGAUCGUAGUCCGGAUUGUAGGCUGCAACUCGCCUGCAUGAAGUCGGAAUCGCUAGUAAUCGUGGAUCAGCAUGUCACGGUGAAUACGUUCCCGGGUCUUGUACACACCGCCCGUCACACCAUGGGAGCGGGUUCCGCCAGAAGUAGGUAGCCUAACCGCAAGGGGGGCGCUUACCACGGCGGGGUUCGUGACUGGGGUGAAGUCGAAACAAGGUA
rnacentral:rRNA from 1 species